rnacentral:rRNA from 1 species
UACGUAGGCAGCGAGCGUUGUUCGGAGUUACUGGGCGUAAAGAGUGCGUAGGCGGUUUUCUAAGUUUGGUGUGAAAUCUCCCGGCUUAACUGGGAGGGUGCGCCGAAGACUGGAAGGCUUGAGUAUGGGAGAGGUAAGCGGGAAUUCCUGGAUGUAGCGGUGAAAUGCGUAGAUAUACAGGGAGGAACACCUGCGGUGUAGACGGCUUACUGGACCAUCACUGACGCUGAGGCACGAAAGCGUGGGUAGCAAACAGGA